AGUGAACGCUGGCGGUAGGCCUAACACAUGCAAGUCGAACGGCAGCACAGUAAGAGCUUGCUCUUACGGGUGGCGAGUGGCGGACGGGUGAGGAAUACAUCGGAAUCUACUUUUUCGUGGGGGAUAACGUAGGGAAACUUACGCUAAUACCGCAUACGACCUACGGGUGAAAGCAGGGGAUCUUCGGACCUUGCGCGAUUGAAUGAGCCGAUGUCGGAUUAGCUAGUUGGCGGGGUAAAGGCCCACCAAGGCGACGAUCCGUAGCUGGUCUGAGAGGAUGAUGAGCCACACUGGAACUGAGACACGGUCCAGACUCCUACGGGAGGCAGCAGUGGGGAAUAUUGGACGAUGGGCGCAAGCCUGAUCCAGCCAUACCGCGUGGGUGAAGAAGGCCUUCGGGUUGUAAAGCCGUUUUGUUGGGAAAGAAAAGCAGCAGGUUAAUACCCCGCUGUUCUGACGGUACCCAAAGAAUAAGCACCGGCUAACUUCGUG
rnacentral:rRNA from 1 species